CGUUAUGGCUUCCUGGGGUUCAUCACCUCUUGGCUCUGAUUUCCUCUGUCAAAUGAGAGAUCUUACCUUGAUGAGUAGUCUUUACUAGUGAUUUAAAAAAUAUAAUCAAACAGCAUAACCGGAUUGCAUUUUUCCAAGAAGGCUGUAACCAGACCUCCCAUAUAACGGGCUGCUCUUGUGAUGUGAGAUUGUCGCUUAUCCCCUCAAGAUGUGGGGUCUAGAUUACCUUUUAUUGCAUAUGGAUCGGUUCGUGAAUGUUGCAAAGUGACUCUAUAUGACUUUUGGGUCUAGGUCAUAGAAGGUGAUAUGGCUACUGUCUGUCUUCUUGGGAUGCUUUCCCUUGGAACCUACCCAUCACGCCAUGGGGAGGGCCGAGCAAGCUGUGGAGGGGAACCCCAUCUCGGUGACAGCUGGCUCCCCGGGCAGCACACAUCUUCAGAGAGAUUUUAUUUAUUCAUGAGGGACACAGAGAGAGGAGGCAGAGACACAGGCAGAGGGAGAAGCAGGCUCCCUGCAGGGAGGGGAGCCUGAUGUGGGACUCGAUAGACUCCAGGAUCAUACCCUGAGCUGAAGACAGAAGCUCAACCCCUGAGCCACCCAGGUGUCCCCUGGCCUGUAUUUUGAAGAAGAAUCCGAGCACAUGGGGCCUCUUCAUUUGCCCCACCCACCCCUCAGUGUAAAGAAGAGGGUACUUGGGGUCGGGGAGAGGCAGAAGCAAAGGCACAUGGUGGAAACAUGAAAGGCAUGCUCAGGGCUGGUUGCAAUGUGGAGGGAAAAACAAUAGAUUAUGGUAAAUACAAGUGGAAAGUGGAUCAGGGCCUUGAAUUUGGGGAGCUUAAAAAUAAUGUUAAGGCAGACACUUUUUACUUAAUUCUUACCCUUUUGCCCUCAGGGAUUGCCCAAAUUUGGGGUUGAGCAGUGUAAAGCAGCUAUCUGCUUAAGUACCCCAAGGAGCCUGCUGGAAGGCAAUGGGAGCUGGCAAUCAGUAGACCCCAAGCUCUGGAGGUGGCAACAGGUGUCCUGACCACCUCUGGCUAUGGAAAGAACCCAGUGGUGGCCCCAGGUGAUAGAUCCCAGGUGGUGAUCCCAGGUGGUUGCCUCUGCUUCUCUGUCCCUAUGAAUCAGAGGUUGCUCUAGUUCCACUGUCCCUUUCCCUCCCUGCCUGCCCCACCUUCAUGGCCUCUGGGGUAUUAGACGAGCCUGCAUAAUUUUGUGACUUCAGAAGGUGGAAGACAGAGGAAUGAGAGCUAUCCUGCCAGCAGGGUUUGGCUAGGGUGAGCUUGCUGCUGAGUAUGGAUGAAUCCAGAAGCCAAUAGCCCCCUGGGAAAUGUGUUAGGUAUCGGUCAUACCUAUCACACACAUUCAAAAAAUGCUCUUACUUUGGUUUGCAGCAUAGACAUCUCUUGGUGUAGUGCAAGUUCAGCAAAUUACUGAGGAUGUAGAUGCCUCUUUUAUUGCAGUUAAUCAGAUUAUAUUGACUGAUUAAAUAGGAUUUGUUAAUAACAUUCACUUAUGGGCAGUGGAGAGUUUAUUAAUAAGUCAUUAUGUUGGGAACUUUAAAUACCUAGCAUUCAAAAGCAAUCCCAAAUGCUUUUGUAUUGCAAACUUGUGGACUGUCUAAGAAAAUAGCCUAUGCCCCGUGUGUUGCAUUCCUACAGUGCUCAAAGACAGGGCUGAAAAAAACCUCAGAAAUGUGUCCCAAGCCUUUACAAAGUAAGCUAUUGCUUUGCUCUGAAAGGUGUAUUUUUCCAAUUUUGCUUAGUGUUUUUUCCUAACCUUUCUUUAGAAGAGUUGCAGUCUUAACUGUUUUUUGGUGAAGAAUUGCAUAAUAAACAACAGAGGCUCCUCUGGUUGGCAGUUGGAUAUUGUGGCCUGUUCUUCCCAUUUUAUUUUAUUAAGACUGAUUUAUUUAUUUAUUUAUUUAUUUAUUUAUUUAUUUAUUUAUUUGAAAGAAGGAGAGAGCAGGGAGAGGGCCAGAGAGGGAGGGAGAGAGAGCAUCCUGGAGCAGACUCCCCACUGAGCAUGGAGCCUGAUGCAGGGCUCGAUCUCACUAUUCUGAGAUCAUGACCUGAGCCAAAACCAAGAGCCAAAUGCUCAACCAACUGAGCCACCUGGGCACCCCAGUUCUCCCCAGUUUAGAGACAGAACACCUGCGGCACACAAGAAAUUGUUUGCCUAAUAUGCCCUUUCACACAGAGAGGAAAUGAGUCAAGGAACUGAGUGAGUAGAUUGGAAUCCUGAGGCCUUGACCCCCAGCCUUCCCCAUGAUUUUCCCAGUUUAAUCAAUUCCAUAGAUGUCCAUGGCCAACGGCAGCAACUGACUUGGUAUGUGAUGACUGGUCACAAGCUGUGAAGCCAGAAGGGGUUGGGGUCCUGGGUUUUCUAUGUGGUGAAUUUGGUCUAGCUUUGUGACUCAGUGUCCUCAUGUGUCCCCACCUGAUUGUGUUUUAGGAUUAAAUGAGUUAUUACAUGUAAAAUGUUUAGGACAGAGCCUGGUACAUAUUAGGAACUCAGUACAUGGCAGUUAAUAUAACACAUAUGGUUCCCGUUACAGCUGGGAGGAACCAGAGCAUCAGGGAUGUAUCUUUCCUGAGAGCGCCUGCCUUUAGGAAAUGAUAUACCAAUAUCCAUUUACUGUGUGGAGGUGGGUGAAGAACAUGAACAUAUAAAAAAAACUUGCAAGGGCACAUGAGGUAUGGGAGCCAGGUGUCAUGUACUCGAAUGCAUUCAAAGCCAGGCAGGCUACUUAAGCAAGAGAAGUGGAGGGUGAAACAAGGCAUGUGGGAGCCUGAGACACGGAGAAAUGCCGGUCUGUCUAAAGACAUUCAAAUUCACUUUUAAAAACACUCUGUGGGCUAUCCCAAUACAUUUAAAGGGCUAUAUCAUUCCCAGAGGCUGAUGUAAUUCAUGAGUUUUGACGUGAACAGGCAAAUAGGAUGAGUUAAAGCCAAUGAGAGA
rnacentral:lncRNA from 1 species